GCAACACAAAGUUUAUUAGUUUCUGAAGGUUGGUGCUUACGACUAUGUGUAGGAAAGGGUACGUGGCAGCUGCAAUUUCGGCGAAAUUUCCUUUUAGUAUGGUGUUGAACAAAAGUCACAAAAAACGGCGCAGUGAUGCCGUAGUUUUUUGUCCGUGGGUGUCGAUAAUGUUUAUUUCUUCUGGAACCUCUAGAUAUUUUUACCUACAGUUUGUUAUGACAUGGUUGAUACGUACCAAUUUAUUAAAGCUCAUGAAAUCAUACAGGAUGUACUUGGUGGUUCAGGAAUUAUAAUUCAUAAAAGUUCAAUCGGGUGGA